AAACUAUAAUCUAAGAAAAAAAUGUUGCUGGGCUGCCCAUUAGUCUGUUGUGGACACUUGAUAGCCAACACCCUGCAUUAGCCACAAGAAAAAACAACAACUAGAUGUGCAUGAAGUAGCAGCCUAAAUCAAUACUUUGUCAAUAUAUGUAGCUUUCAUUUCAUCAUUCUUCAUCAUCAAGCGAGCUACACAUCUGACUAUUGAAGGAAGCUGAUCAGAACGUCAAAAAGCACUUUUGUUGGCACAGAAUAGCUAAUCAGAUGUAAUCCACAGGGGGAAAAGAAACAAACAAAAUAUCCAAAAUGGAAAAAAAUCCAAGGGGUCCUAAUCAGAAAAAUCCAAGUGGAAAACAAAAUCCAAUAGAACAGCCAGGACACCCUUAUGAAAGGGGAAAGAUGACAGGAAAAUAUGAGUGCGCUGCGAAAAACCAUGAAGAACGGAUGGGAGAAAAAUAGGAGCUGCAGCCAUCAAGGAGGAGCAACAACUGCUG